rnacentral:lncRNA from 1 species
GUAUGCAAGACUUGACAAAGCUGAUGAGGGGCCAGAUGGGCCUCGCUCUUAUGGUUUUUUUUUCUUCUUCUUCUUCUUCUUCCUCUCUCUCUCUCUCUCUCUGUCUCUCUCUCUCUCGUCUCUCUUCCUUUCCCCCCUCCACCACUUGGGACCUGAGCGAGAGGACUGCAGCAGGCGAGUUCCGGAAGGCUGAAUCCCCAGGUCCCAGCCCCGGACCGCGGCAACUCGCCCCUGCGGCACGCCCGGCCCGGCUGCGCCCCCACUCAGCGAUGGAGGUAAAGAGGCGGCGGCCGCGCGCCCUGCCCCGGCUGCCGCUGCCGAGUCCCCGCUGCUCUCCUUGUCCUUCGCUCUCUUCUUCCUCCUCCUAGUCCCCUUCAGUUUCCUGGGCGAAGCAGAGGGCGACAUGGGUGGGUGGGUUGCUGCGCUGGGGCGAGGUGGGGUCGAUGUUGUUUUUUCAUUGUCUGGAGCUGCAGGGGAGGCGAGGCGCGGGGAAAGGGGCGAGGGGAGCCGGGGUAAUUAACACGGGGGAGGCACCCCUCCGUCUCCCACUUCCACCCACACCCCCAUCCCUCCACCCCCUCCGCUUUGCAGGAAAAAGCCUGGAUGCGAAAGGAUGGGGGAGAACAAAGAGCCUUUGGAAGACGUCGCUGUUAUCUCAUUGUCUGUGUGAUUGGGGGAGCUGCGGCGGGGAGGAUGCUGUGGUCCCUUCCUCCGGCGUUCCCCACCCCCAUCCCUCUCCCCGCUGUCAGUGCGCACGCACACGCGCCGCUUUUUAUUUCUUUUUCCUGGUUUUCUUAUUCCAUCUUCUACCCACCCCUCUUCCUUUCUUUCACCUUUCCUUCCUUCCUUCCUCCUUUCCUUCCUCAGGAGAAAGGCCUCUCUCUCCGUGUUCACAGCGGACCUUGAUUUAAAUGUCCAUACAAUUAAGGCACGCGGUGAAUGCCAAGAAUGGGGCUG